GUAGGUGGCAAGCGUUGUCCGGAAUUAUUGGGCGUAAAGCGCGCGCAGGCGGUUCUUUAAGUCUGAUGUGAAAGCCCACGGGCUCAACCGUGGAGGGUCAUUGGAAACUGGAGAACUUGAGUACAGAAGAGGAAAGCGGAAUUCCACGUGUAGCGGUGAAAUGCGUAGAGAUGUGGAGGAACACCAGUGGCGAAGGCGGCUUUCUGGUCUGUAACUGACGCUGAGGCGCGAAAGCGUGGGGAGCAAACAGGAUUAGAUACCCUGGUAGUCCCCGCCGUAAACGAUGAGUGCUAAGUGUUAGGGGGUUUCCGCCCCUUAGUGCUGCAGCUAACGCAUUAAGCACUCCGCCUGGGGAGUACGACCGCAAAGGUUGA
rnacentral:rRNA from 1 species